GAAUGUGGCAUAAGGAGAGAAGCCAGGAUCUCUCUCUUCCUCUCUCUUCUCUGAGUGGUGUCCUCGUUCUCCAAGCAGCAGCGCCUGUGACUUCACCAUUGCUCCAGCUCCCAGCAGACUGGCCCACUGUGGCUGCAGCUUCGGCCAGGAGGCUGUAACCCGUGGUUAUCCCCCCUCCGUCUCUCCAGCUGAUGACAGCCUCUGGGAACACCUUCGGCUGGACUGGCAGAGUCCCCUGGGACCCUGAGAGGCCGUGAGAACGGACGGAAGCCGCUCUGUGGUCUGAGAGGAAAAAUUCAAGAAACACAUAAAAAUGGCGACAGACAGAAGCUUUGAAAAUGAGAAUCCGCUGCAUGCGUCCUUUGGUCAGUGUUUCUUUCGAGCGCAUCCUUAUGACCUCUCCACCUCCAAGCAUCAGGGACGAGGAGGGACCGUGAGCAGCUGAGAGGAGUGACUUUCAGGAUUUUACUCAUUUAUUUAGUAACCCGGCCUUCUGCGAAGCACCUCCUUUGUCUCUUAGCAGUUUGUACAUCUUCUGUAAGCGUGAUAUUCGAGUAGCAGAAUCUUCCAGGGACCUAUUGGAAUCUGAGGCUCUUUACCAUAAAUACUUCGGCCUUACGACUUGAAGCUGCAGAUUGCACAGAUAAGCGGGCUGCUACCAGGGAGUUCAGAGACAACGGUGGCAAGCCAAGCUUCCUUCACAGUCACGGCAGCACCAGGAAGAGAUGGCAGGAACACCGCUGCACCACUGCAAGCCCUCAACGCCUGAGAAAACCCGGGGAGGAAAGCCGGACAUUUUCAGAGCUUUCUGCCACCACCUGAAUUACUAGACUUCAUUCUGAUUAAUCAUCGGCCUCUCUUGUGGUUUUUCCCCCAGACAAAAUUUCUGUAGAAUGAAUAGUGCAUUUAUUCAUGUAUUCAGUACAUAUUGAUUGAACACCUAAAGGUCAAGUGCUAUGUUAGAGGCUGACAGCAUACGAAGGAGUUGUUGUUUCUGAUUUUUUUAGGGUGCUAUAGAUUAAUGAGAGCACAGACUAGUGGAGAGUCAUAGUAUAAUACAGUAUAUUGUAGAAAAAGCAGAUAAUUAAAAUAGCAGAAAUGCAGAAGAGCCUCCUCUAUGAGGUUGUCUAACAGGUGAUGGGGGAUUAUUUGCUUUCAUGACAAAAAUCACUCAGGCUAGCUCAUUUGCUGGAUAGCUCAGCUGGUAAAGAAUCCGCCUGCAAUGCAGGAGACCCCGGUUCAAUUCCUGGAUUGGGAGGUUCUCCUGGAGAAGGGACAGGCUGCCCACUCCAGUACUCUCGGGCUUCCCUGG